rnacentral:rRNA from 1 species
UACGUAGGUGGCGAGCGUUGUCCGGAUUUACUGGGCGUAAAGGGCGUGCAGGCGGUUUGUUAAGUGCAGGGUGAAAGCUCCCGGCUCAACUGGGAGAGGUCCUUGCAUACUGGCGAACUCGAGGGAGGCAGAGGAAAGUGGAAUUCCCGGUGUAGUGGUGAUAUGCGUAGAUAUCGGGGAGGAACACCUGUGGCGAAGGCGGCUUUCUGGGCCUUACCUGACGCUGAGACGCGAAAGCGUGGGGAGCGAACCGG